UGGGGAAUAUUGGGCAAUGGGCGCAAGCCUGACCCAGCCAUGCCGCGUGAGUGAUGAAGGCCUUCGGAUCGUAAAGCUCUGUGGGGAGGGACGAACAAGCCUCUGGCUAACAUCCAGGGGCCCUGACGGUACCUCCUUAGCAAGCACCGGCUAACUCCGUGCCAGCAGCCGCGGUAAUACGGAGGGUGCAAACGUUGCUCGGAAUCAUUGGGCGUAAAGCGCACGUAGGCGGUCCAGCAAGUCGGGUGUGAAAGCCCUCGGCUCAACCGAGGAAGUGCAUUCGAAACUGCUGAACUUGAGUAUGGAAGAGGGUCGCGGAAUUCCCGGUGUAGAGGUGAAAUUCGUAGAUAUCGGGAGGAACACCAGUGGCGAAGGCGGCGACCUGGGCCAAUACUGACGCUGAGGUGCGAAAGCGUGGGGAGCAAACAGGAUUAGAUACCCCCGUAGUCC
rnacentral:rRNA from 1 species